rnacentral:lncRNA from 1 species
CAUGCAUUGACUACAUUUGAUCUGCAACACGUUUGAGUUCUUAAAAAAAAGAAAAAAAAAAGAAAAGGUAUUUCUGUAUAGAAAAUAAUUUAUAUCGGUCAAUCCUGGUUUACCUAGAUGGUUCUUACUAUUUUUUAUGUUUUUUUUUUUUGGCAAUGUCUUCAAAAGCAUUUAUUUGCUUCUAAAUGAAGGGAACACACCUUAGCAGAAAUGCUCAGGGAAAUAGGGCUAUGUAAAUGCAUAACGAAUGCUAGAUUUUAAUUAAAUGAAGAUUCUACUCUACCAGCCAGUGUACUUUCUGCAGGUUACUGUACUAAGUUAGCGAUACAGCACUUGAAGUUAUCCUUAAGUAUAUAUAUAUAGAUGUUACAAGCUACUGGAUACACUGUCAGAUAGUCCUUUUUCAUUAAGGAAGUUGGGAGAACAAAAGUCUUAUUUUUCUAGUAAUUAUUAAUGUAUUACAUUUCAAAUAAUGGUGCCUGACAUAUUAAAUAAUUAUUUUCUACUAUGUACGUAUGCAACAACGAUAUUCCAUCAUUGCAUUAGAGUCAGUUUGGCUCAGCCUCACUGUUUACAUUUGCAGAUGUAGCGAAUACGGUUGUGAAGCAAAUCUUUCUAUUGCAUUAGGUAAAGUUUCUUUGUGCAUUAAAGGUAUAAUCUGUUACAUGAAACAAAUUUAUUUGUUAGUAAAAUGGGAUGGAAUAUGAGAAGGAAAUUGAGAUAUUUUUAUGCCUAUUUAGGAUAAAAGGGUAGCACUAUUCAUUCCAAUUACUUUUGUAUUCUUAAAUGUUAAUUCACAUUGUUACGCUUCAGAAUGAUGCACAUAUAUCCUCUUUAUUGCUUGUGUCUAUGUUUCAUACGAAACAUUUCAUAAUUCUGUUAUGUGCUGUGUGAAUUGCAGCUGAUGUUUUGUGUAUUGCAUUCUUCAGUAGCAUUGCACUUCAUUUUACAUUGUUCAGCAUUUGUUUGUUUCUUAUUAAUGCUUUGUCCAUCUCCCUUUCUCUAUUUUAUUUUAGUCCAUUGGGGUGGGUGAUUGAGAGGUAUUUUUCCCACCUUUGUGGUUUCAUAAUAUUGUUUCUUUAUAAAGCAUUCUUCACCCGUAGAUAAGAAUGAGUGAAUUAAGGAUUUUUUUUUUUUUUUACUAUCUUUUCUUUUUUUCAUUCAUUUUAAAUAAAUCAGGGCAUAUAGCUUUUUUCUGCAUGUAUCCAUGGGAUGUUUAUGUACAUGACAUAUUGAGAUGUGCAAAGAUGUUUAAUCCAGGGAAAUAUAUAUUUAAACCAUUUCCAAUAAAAGAAUAAAAUGUGUUUUACGUAAGUAUUAUAAAAACAUUCUAUGAAUUUAUUUGCUUACAAUUUCCAUGUGGAUUUACAUAAAAUCUAGUCACUUUUUUUUUUUCGAUAUCACACCAAUAAAAGAAGAACUCAUUAGAGGAAAAGGUUUUAUGUUUGUUAUAGCAAUCCUGUGGUUCACGAAUGUUGAGACAAUGUGUUUAUUUACUCCACAUACCUACAGAUUCACCAACGUGUGAUAUGAUAAUUGAUACAACAUUGCUGUCUUUUUUUACAUCACAACAUAAAAUUAAAAAUUAAAUAAUUAGGAAAAAGUAGAAUUGAAAUCUAUAUUUAGGGCUUACGUUUCACAUUUCUUAAAUUACAUGUGGGCUAAAAUAGCUUAUAAAUAUAAGCAAUUCUAUAGGGUUUUUUAUUUUUUAAAGAGACCUUAAGUAAUGGGUGCAGCACCUAAUGGUUGUAGUAAUUUUUACACUGUUGAAACAAUUAGUGUAUAUUUUGCCUUUUUGCCUCGUUGCUGAUUAUAUUCCUUGACUUAAUUCAUGUGUUAUGUGAGUUAAAUGUUGAAGAGGGUUGUAUACCCAAUUCAACCUACUUUAUUUCAUAAGAAAUAUAGUCUAAUCCAUUAAUUUGCCAUAUAAAUAUAAUAUAUUAAUUAUUUGUUGAUCAUUGAGAUUGGGAAUAUAUGAAUUUAUAUUUUUAUUAAAUUUCUAUUUGUUAUUUUGUAUACUAUAAUGGCCUGAUUAUAGGACACAUAGCCCCCUAAAAAAUAUAAUUACAAUAAAUAAAUAAAUAACAUAUGGUAGCAUUCUACAAAUCCCACCGCCCGUUCCAUGUUAUUAUUAAAUAUUACCAAGUUUAUGUAUAUAGUCAUUAAUGUAAUGCAGCAUAUAAUUGUGUCUUUAUGGUAAUUAUGGUUUUAGAUACCCGCAACAUAGUAUUCUAUUAAAUACAGUUUCAUAGACUACAAAUUGUCUAAUGUACACAUUAUUUUGCCCUCAUUCAGAAGCACAGGUUCCCUCGCCAACAUAUUCGCUCACUAUUUUCUUUAUAUGUCCGGGAAUGUGAAGAUGCUUUGAUAAAUAAUUCACACAUUUCUUCCUGUUUGUUCUUAUAUUUUUCUCUUCUUUUCUUUCACCUUUGUCACUUUUCAAGUCACUAUAUGAAUAGAUUGUAGAGUAUAACACAUUAUGUGAUUCCUCUAAAUCCACUCAAAAGAUUUAAAACAAUUAUUUAAACAUAUUUACUUAUUUACUAUACUACGUAAAAAUGCAAACAUUUUCAUAUAAUUACUUUUUUUUUAAAUUUCAUUUGCUACCUGCAAGCAGGUAUUCAUGCUUUCUAGUAAUAGAAAAUUAUUCUAUAUUAUUAUAAAUAUUUUGUUUUAUUGCAGUCAACUUCAAGCUAAGAACCCAUUGAAUUCUUUAUUUUAAGGCAUUAUUGUCAUUUUUUAGUGAACAUUUAAAUGCCAUGUGUGUGAAAAUAUAUGUGUUAAGAUUAAACUUUAAUUUCUGUUUAAUGGUUUAUUGAGUGUCUAGUUAUUGGAUUUAAUGAAACUCUAAUUUAAAAUUAACAACCUCACAAUAAAGAUUACAAUAAAGAUCCUAUAUAUGUAUAUUAAAGGACAAAAACAAAUAAAUAUGGAUAUAUAUGAGCCAUCUUAAUAGAUCCCCUUAAUACAUCCAAUAACUACACAAAAGGUUUCAUGUGCUUUCUAUUUUUUCUGGGUCCUUUUAAUUACUGGUACAAAUUGUUUUUGGGGAUUAAAAAUAGAUGCAGAGCAUAUUAAACUAUAACCACUGGCUGAAAAGGUUAGGAUUAUCUGAAAGGCUGGUUUAUUAUUAACGAUCAAUAAUAGGGUUGAAUGGGCCCUGAGUUUAAAAUAUAUGCUGCAUAUAUUUGUAUAACAUGCGUACUCUUUUAUUUAAAUAUCAUUAGACCUGACCUUGGGAAUUUUCGAAUUUUCAAAUUUUCUAAAGGUGUUUCUUAUUGUUGUAUGUUAUUAUUUUUUUUUUUCAUUUUUUUUUUUCUUCUUUUUUUUGACAAAAAAAAAUUGUAUAUUGAAAUUAUACUGUGCUUUAAAAGCAUUUUGGAAAUGGCAUAGGGAGUGUGGAACAUCUCAAUAUGCCAAUGUAUUAUAAAAUGUCAAUGUUUAUUCUUUAUUAAGCAAUAUGCACCAGCAAAAAAGAAAUAAAUUAGAUUUUGUUAUAAAUCUUUUUAUCGCUAACCCCUCCCCUAAAAAAAAAAAUAGAAAAACAAAAAAAAUUUAGGCCUGAGAAAUUUUCUGAGAAUUUUGACCUCUGUCUUAAACACAAAAUAUUUUUUGUUUGUUCAUUGUGCAUGUUCAUUUCUGCCCACAAACUUGUCUUUGUCUAUUUUUAUUGCAUUGAAGAAUAAAAAUAUCAGACAGUAAAUAUGUCUGUUACAUCUAAACUUGAAUAAUAAAAUUUUACCACCAGUUAUGAAAA